rnacentral:lncRNA from 1 species
ACACAUCAAAUCCCACCCAGUUGGCGGUUAGGUUCUUGGGAUCAGAGAUGAUUGAUCGUUUCCAUUUUUGGAGAGCAAUAUAGGCACUGUCAAUUCUUGGGUUGUCAAACUCAAGAGAAGCAGAUGACUUGGAACUUAAGGUUACAUAAUCAUUUAUUGAAUCAACUUUGUCCUUAAAAUGCAAAGGCUUUCUUCUGCUUUGCUUAUUAUAUGUUGCUGCAUUUGUAGAAAGAAAGAGGUAUUGUGUUGUGAAGAAGCAAAUGAGAGUGACAGUAGUAAAGAAUGGAAGAAUGUCGAUCUUUCUCUUCAUCAGAUACUAUUUAACAUAAAUACUUUUUUUUUUUUUUUUC